rnacentral:lncRNA from 1 species
GAGAGAGAGGCAGGUUGCAGCUACAGUUGACUGAGAGAGAGAGGCAGGUUGCAGCUACAGUUGACUGAGAGAGAGAGGCAGGUUGCAGCUACAGUUGACUGAGAGAGAGAGGCAGGUUGCAGCUACAGUUGACUGAGGAGAGAGGCAGGUUGCAGGUAGAGUUGACUGAGAGAGAGAGGCAGGUUGUAGCUACAGUUGACUGAGAGAGGCAGGUUGCAGCUACAGUUGACUGAGAGAGAGGCAGGUUGCAGCUACAGUUGACUGAGAGAGAGGGGCAGGUUGCAGCUAGAGUUGACUGAGAGAGAGAGGCAGGUUGCAGCUACAGUUGACUGAGAGAGAGAGGCAGGUUGCAGCUACAGUUGACAGAGAGAGAGGCAGGUUGCAGCUACAGUUGACUGAGAGAGGCAGGUUGCAGCUACAGUUGACUGAGAGAGAGAGGCAGGUUGCAGCUACAGUUGACUGAGGGGGCAGGUUGCAGCUACAGUUGACUGAGAGAGAGAGGCAGGUUGCAGCUACAGUUGACUGAGGGGGCAGGUUGCAGCUACAGUUGACUGAGAGAGAGAGGCAGGUUGCAGCUACAGUUGACUGAGGGAGACAGAUUGCAGCUACAGUUGACUGAGGGGGCAGGUUGCAGCUACAGUUGACUGAGAGAGAGAGGCAGGUUGCAGCAACAGUUGACUGAGAGAGAGAGGCAG